rnacentral:rRNA from 1 species
UACGGGGGGGGUAAGCGUUGUUCGGAAUUAUUGGGCGUAAAGAGCGUGUAGGCGGCCAGACAGGUCCGUUGUGAAAACUAGAGGCUUAACCUCUAGACGUCGAUGGAAACCGUCUGGCUAGAGUCCGGAAGAGGAGAAUGGAAUUCCUGGUGUAGCGGUGAAAUGCGCAGAUAUCAGGAAGAACACCCGUGGCUAAGGCGGUUCUCUAGUACGGUACUGACGCUGAGACGCGAAAGCGUGGGGAGCGAACAGG